AUCUAGCUGACAAGUCCCAACUAGGACGAAACACGCCUCCUGGAU
rfam:Schistosoma curassoni strain Dakar, Senegal genome assembly, scaffold: SCTD_scaffold0005864